rnacentral:rRNA from 1 species
AUUGAACGCUGGCGGCAGGCCUAACACAUGCAAGUAGAGCGGAGCGGCGGACGGGUGAGUAAUGCCUAGGAAUCUGCCUGGUAGUGGGGGAUAACGUACGGAAAUGGGCGCUAAUACCGCAUACUCGCAGCUGAGCCUAGGUCGGACUAGCUAGUUGGUGGGGUAAAGGCCUACCCAGGCGACGAGCCGUAGCUGUACUCAGAGGAUGAUCAGUCACACUGGGACUGAGAAACGGUCAAGACUCCUGCUGGAGGCAGCAGUGGGGAAUAGGCGACAAUGGGCGAAAGCCUGAUCCGGCCAUGCCGCGUGUGGGAAGAAGGUCUUCGGAUUGUAAAGCACUUUAAGUUGGGAGGCGUUACCAAAAGAAUAAGCAACGGCUAACUUCGUGCCAGCAGCCGCGGUAAUAC